GCGAUUUUUGCAGCGAAGCUGCUGCCGCUGGAACUGAACCGGGGGACUCAGCUGCGGGCGGUGGAUUGUUUCUUAUCCUUCCCUCCAUCGGCUCCACAGAGGAGCUGCCUUCUUUCCUUUUCAUGCCAAGUUUAAAGCCCACUCAUCUCUGAUGAAAGCACCUGCUGAUAUAGAGGAAACAUCUUGGAAGGAUGAGCACAACUUCCUUAAAUAGUCGCCUGGACCAGCCAUUGAUUUGUCCUGAUAAAGUGCCUGUGAAGAAUGACAAACGCCCCGAUCCCUAUUCCUGUUAUCAGAAAAGUCCAAUUUAGAGAACCAGACGAUUGUGGAAAACACAGGAGACGAAGGGCAGUGCUACCCAAAGUGUGUUCCCCGGGCCAGUGCUGCCCCGCAGGCUCUCACAUGCACCAGCAAGUGCGGGGAUCUGGAUUACGUGUUCAGCAACUUUCUAGUAACUUGCAGAAGAAUUGUAUG